rnacentral:misc_RNA from 1 species
UUCUGGUCUUUAUGCCUUUGGAUUUUACCCACAGGGCACUGGGUAUGCUAUCGGUGUCUUUAUUGCUGGAAUUCCUCAGAAGACGGUUGUCUGGACUGCCAAGCGUCACCAGUAGACAGCAAUGUUAACUUGCUCAUCAAUGAUGCUGGGUUAGUCUUGGAAGCGCAAGGCCAAACAACUACAGUUAUUUCUGCUCCCCAA